ensembl:lncRNA
UUAACUGGCAACUUGGUCCUGACGGCAUGUGUAUAUGACUACGGGGUGUGUCAUCCUGUAAAACAGCAUCAUGGGUUGCAUGACAGCGGCUCAGAGACCUUCUUCUCAGAGGUAAUCUUGCCGUGUUCCUGCCCACUCUGGAUCAGCUCUUCAGGCUGGUGGCAGCCCUCAUGUUGAUUUGUAGGGCUUUGCCAUGUUCACAAAUCACAACUGCAGAGGGGACAGGACCAGUGCACACGCGGAAAUCAGAAAUGAGGUCAGGGGUCAGGAAUGUGGAAUGGUCACAUUUAAGUUCUUCGCGAAAAAGAACAAAGCAAUCUGCAGAGGAUUGGUCUCAAGGCCAGGCCCCAACAUUCCUAUCCCAACAGCAUUGUCAGUGAUUUUUAAACAGAACUUGAAGUUGAAGUUGAGGUGACUUCCUGAACACUGAGCCUGAAACUCUUGACACUGGAUCAACAGAAAACAAGCUUCUCUUUGUUAAGACAUAAAUGUCAAGGUUACUACAAGCAUCAGUCAUAAGAGCAAGGAAAUACACUCCUCAUGCAGAUUAGCGAUUAAGAACCAUAUUGGCUCUCCUAAGUUCAUGCAUCAAUCAUGCAUGUCAGUCUGAAAGGCAUGCUUGUCUAUCACAGAGGAAAACCAAGGGAGUACAGCCACUACAAGAUGGAGAUUACCAGAACUUUUUGCAUUUAGAGAGUAGAAUAUAUUGAGUUGUAUAAGCAAAAAUCUGCUACAAUGACUAACAAAUGUUCAAGUGAGAACUUUUAAGGUCAUAUUACCAAAUAAAAUAGGAGGCUGAUCAAUAAAUUGGGAGGUUGAUCAAUAAAUUGGGGGACUGGUAAAUAAAAUGGAAAACUGGUCAAUAUAGUGGGAGAUUGAUCAAGCAGUUGUGUGACUGGUCAAUAAAGUGGGACACUGAUCAGUAAAUUGGGAGACCGAUCAAUAAAUUGGGAGACCGAUCAAUAAAUUGGGAGACUGGUCAAUCUAGUGGGAGACUGGUCAAUAAAAUUGGGAGAGCGGUCAAUAAAAUGGGGGACUGAUCACUAACAUGAAGACUGAUCAGCUCAGUUUGAAAAUUAUAAUAAAAAAAUAAAUAAAUAAAUAAUAAUAAUAACUUUAAUAUUAUCACAACAGCAUUUAUAAGUGCUAAUAAGCAAAUAAAUGCAAGUCUAUGGUGGACAAUUACAUUCAGGAAGUAUAACAUUAGCAAGAUAGCUAAUCCAUCAGCUCCUGCUUAGACUUCUAACUCUACUGGUUAGUAAGUAAAAUGCCAAAAACUUAAUGUAGGUCUGCACUAUUCUUUUGUUCUACAGAAAUCCUGGCUGUAGCAUAUGUUAAGAAUUUUUCAGUAAAACAAUAGGAUGUUUUCUACAGUUCUAUACAUGCAUUAUAAAUGAAUAGGAACAUCUCUCCUGAAUAAAAACUGCAGUGUUUUUCAUUUUCUUAUAGACUUCUGUGUUGAACAACGUAGUAGUAGUAGUAGUAGUAGUAGUAGUAGUAGUAUAGCACUUUCUCCAAUCAUACAGAUUGUUAAAAGUUUCGUCACUUAAUGCAAUAAUCAGUUUCUGUAAUAUAAAGUUAUACAAUUGUUAUAGCCUGUUAUAGUCUAUUGUUAUGUGCAUGGUUCCAAAUCCUGACAAUCAGAUAAGCCCUUUUUUCAUCAAACUGAUUUGAGACUAUAGUAACCAAAAACCUCAACGCUAGCCUGAACAUGAAACUGUUAAAAGAUGUAACACUCAGCUACUUAAGGGUUGUGUAGCUGGCAGACAUGACAGGUCACCUCACUGUGCCUCAAUGAUCAAAAAUAUCAUUUUCUUAAAGCAGACCUUAGCCAGAUGUCUUAAGCUAAAUGAUUUCACUGUUGCCCGAACACACCUAAUUUACCUCAUGAAGUACUAAAUGCAAGUGAAAUGAAAAGGAAUAAGAAUUUGCAGCAUAUCGUCAGUUUAGCUCACACCAGACCUAAUUAAGCUACUCGCUACACACACUACUUUAAGUUACAAAGAAAAGUCCAGACUACUGUCAAUUAGAGUUGACAAGAGGCCAAUUAAGAUCCAUACCAGACAAACUGAACAUUUAUCAAGUAGACUAAAUCUUAGAAAUCUAAAGCUUGGGAUAAAUACAUAGGGAGAGUAGGGAGUUAAGAGGAGCCAGAGACAUGAGACAAAGCAGAAAAGCACACAAUAUCUUAGAAUGAUGCAUAAAGAUAUACUGGAGUCAGUGGUGUUAGCCUGUGUCGCCUUUAGCAAAUUCCCGAAUGGAGGCUAUGUAUUAAAUAUGACAUUCCCACAACAUGUUAAGUUGUGGGAUCAAGUUAGACGAUUCACAGCCAGGAGUUUGAUAUAAUAAUUCAUGACCACAAGAUACUUAGUUGUGCCUGGAAUUAUUAACUUACGGCCUCAAUACAUUAUCUCGUGGACAUGUUAUUUCUAUUAAGAAAUAACCAUCAUGUUACCUCAGAAGUCUCUACAAAGAUGCCUCCUUCAAAACACUUUAUAAUUAAAUACAAGUUUUGAGAUUGAGUCCAAGAGCCAUUGAUAUAAUUUUUUUUACAAAGGUUUUCUUACCUAAAUAACAGAGAUUGAGACCACCAAACAUUGACAAGAGGGGUAUGGCCAAAAGUCACAGCUCCUUAGCUAUGAUAAACACUCAUAACAGAGGGAAGGGAUGGCAGUUCUCUAGGAGAUUAAACGCUGUAGUCUUGAACGCAGGCAAAACAGAAAGAGGAGUUUAAACUGACUGACAGACGGAUUGACAGGCAAUAACAAUGUCAGGAUCGUACUGAUAUAAUUAUACAGCCCUAAGUGUCAGUUGAGCCUGAGUAUCCUCUCAGUGACUGGGUUGACUCUCUGCAAGCUUGUGCAGGCAAAUUAUGCGUCACUGACAACAUGCAGGCGUGUUGAUGACAUACAUUAAUACAAGUUGUGUCCUGUGUUCGGCUGCAUGAUCUGGUGUUGUUGUGUCAGCUAUACAUGCGUUUGCGUCAACAGCAUAUACAUGUAUAAAGUUACUGAACUGGAUCAGGAAAUGCGUCAAAUCAGAAUCGAUACCAGUGGAGUUUCAGUUUCAGGCUAGUGUGAGCUCUGAUACUGAUAUUGUAUUGGAUCACUAAUAAAUCACUAAUAAAUAUAUAAUUAGAGAGAGAGAGAGAGAGAGAGAGAGAGAGAGAGAGAGAGAGCUCCAUGGACAGCCUUGAUGCAGCUGAAGGUCAAUGAGGUCGAUUUUGCAAACAGUCCAUUGUAAAAGGUGAAUUAUUUAAAGCAACUUGUUAAUAUAGAAGACUUAUCUUCCUCAUCCCAUGCUGCUUAACUAGAGGUUGAAAAUGAUUUGGGGUUUUCUCAACUGCCUGCUCAGAAGCCAAAGACUCUUUUGGCUGACACAGAGCAAACAAUAUCUCUUUCUGAGGACUCACGGAAAUAGCUCCCUAGUUACUUUCGGGAUUAUUGGAUAACAACGAUCAGAAAAUAACAAUAUAUUUUUGCGAACUGGAACUGAAUUUGAACAAUGUACAUUAUUGAUUACAACAACAACCGCUGGUUAAACAGUCCCUCUCUCUCCACCGCUCGCAUUCACACACUUCUCUGCUGGUACACAAUUGCGGGACAGAAGAAAGGAUCAUUUUUCAUGUCUGUGCAUUUGUAAUUAUUAUUGUCUAAUACUGUGUAUUUGUGUAGCCUAUAUGUUGUUUAUGUAUAUAUGUGUCUAAAACAUACAUACACACACACACACACACACACACACACACACACAACACCUCACUGACAGUAACCAGUGACAGGUCUGUUGUGCUCAUGACACAGAGAGGAAACAGCAGGUGUAAAGAACAGUGUGUGUGUGUGUGUGUGUGUGUGUGUGGGUGUGUGUACCAGCAGUGGCUCCUGACGUUAGAUUUGGUGGGGAAGCACGACAUUAAUAAAGACGUAGCGUCAAACAAAAUUAAUUCAAGAGGCAAUCACGCUCAUGCUAUAGAAUACUAUGUAAGAGUAACCCUGUAAGAGGAAGUUAAGAGUCGACAAAGCAUACAGUCAUCCAGUGCACAAUCUAGCAGCUUGUUUUGAGUAGUUUUAGAUGCACCUUUGUUGAACCUUAGAAACGCUAAUAUCACUAACUUGGGUUGCCAGCUUUCAAUCAAAAUUUCUAGCUCAACUGCAUCUCAAAAACCACACACCAGGCCAGAAUUUAGGCCAAAAAAAUACAGCAUUGGAAAAGGGAGACUUCCUCAGCCUAUGUGUGGGGAAACAAGGUCACCGUAGCACACACAUUUCUGAUGUAUAGGACUUAUCCCCUCUAUAAUCCCACUUUCCUUCUCCCAGUGUUUGCAAUAUAUCUUGUUCAUGUACAUCAUGUACAAUGUACAUCACAGAUUGAAUAUACACUUUACUUUUGUUUUGUGAAAAUGUACUAUUAUAUGGUCCAGUGUUUCAAAUAGCUGAAUUUGCCACUGUCCGCUGCUCCACCACUGAGCAUGGGGCAGCGUGAUUCAGGUCCUAGUGGGUUUGUAAUUUUUAAAAAUUACCGCAGAUUUUCCACAGAUUUGGGCCAUGUCACAUGGUGCAUUUAUUCGAAGCGCUCUUCGGUUCACGUGCAUUGAAUAUGAGUACAGCUGAAAGCUCUCAAUUACCAGCAAACAUCAACGUGAAAAAAAGCAACUGUGAUUUCACCAAUUCAAGUAGUUUUCCAAAAAAAAAUUUUUUUUUUAAAUCACAAAAGACUCUGCAAUUCGCAUCACAGAUUUAGAAAAAAGCUGCAGCAAAAUCAAGUAUUUCUGUCUGUAACAAUCACAAAAAAAAAUCUUCGAAAUCCUGUAUGGACUGUCUAUUAGCACUGCUUCCAGUUCCCAUUUUUGUCAACUAGGUGCAAUAAUAACUCUGUGGACCAAAAUACAGCAGAGUGAUCACAACCCAUUGAUGGCACAACGUAUAGAUAGGCGAGUAAAUCAGUGAAACAUUGGCUUAUAUCUGUCAAAUUGCAACAUUUUAUUUUGUUGGUCACUCACAAGGGGUAAUUAGUAUUAGAACUAAAUUUUAAAUGUCUGGAGGACUUUAUGAAGAUUAACAUAUUGAGUGGCUCGUAUACACCAUGUGGGGUGUUCCCGGGAACGCUGUGGUUGGCUAGUACCUACCAAAAGUGGUCUAAGGAAGUACAACUACGCCCUACCACAUAAUCUGCCCUGCCACACUGCAAAAAUUGUUCAGGAAUGGUUUGAGGAACAUGACAAAAGCUGUGACCGAAUAUCCGUACUACCCUACUAAAGAGUAGGUGAAAAGCAGUACGCCAAAGGAGUACUAUGUCCGAAUUCUCCGUAUUCGCAAAACAAUAGGCGAAAAAUUCCUGGAUGACCUACUGCUUCCGCUGAGAUUCUGCAGUAUGGAACCAACAGACACUGUGCUA